CUUGUAUCCUACCUCUCCUCCAAUGUUAGUUGCUUCCUUCUCUCCUUGUUCCAUGGCCAGUUAAGACCAGAGACCAUCGCGAUGUUGCAAAGUCGUUAAGCACUCGUGAGUUGGUCGAGUUGCAGGAUUGGAGCCCGCGUACGUUGCAUAUAUUGCAGAUGGCGAUGCCGUGGGAGACGGCGGCGUGCAUCGCGCGCAGCGUGUGGGUGCUACUCGACUGCUGGGUCUGCACCUGCGUCCUCGCCGCCGAUGAGGCCGCGCGCCUCCUCCACUCGGUCACUGACUGAUCAACGUCUAACGCGCUGAUGGGCUUGUAGAUUAUGUAUGUGGAUAGCUGCGGCACAGACUGACCUACAGUAGAAUAUUUUUCCAUAACAUGUAAAUGGUGAAACUGCUUAUAUACCUUUUUGUUCCUUUUUUCUGAGAAUACAAAGAUUGUGUAUAGUAUGUGGCGAAAAAUACCAAUUGUCAAUAUUGUAUAUGCUUUUCAUUGUAUACACCAUGUAUACCUGUUGUUCUUUUUU